ensembl:ncRNA lncRNA:CR46497 long non-coding RNA:CR46497
ACACCGAUAUUGUUAUAGUUUUUGGUCCUGACCUGGGGCUUCUCUGCGGGAUUUGCAACAGGAGAUUGGAGAGCAGAGCUACCAGUUUGCUUUAAUGUGGUUAAAUUGAAGCUUAAAGUUGAUUUGCCAUUAGGAAUUUACAUGCAACUAUAAUCAUCCUUCAUGCCAGAUUGUAACUAAAGUUAUACUUUCUCAACUCUAGUCUAUGAUGCUUUUUUGUAACUGUCCGUGUAAAAUAUUUGGUAUUUCGUUGGAAUUUGAAGUAGACUCUUUCAAUUCCAUUAGUUUUUUUUUUUUAAUAAUUAUCCGUCAGCACUGUUCAGAGCAUUUAGCGGCGUAAUAGGCUCAAAUUCCUGCCAGUCCACACGGAAACCGCAAAUUUAACUAGCAAUUCAGCGGCAGCAAGGACUGGAAUUCUUGCCAGGGCCCUUAAAAAUAGGCCCUGUGUUAUUGCCCAACUAUUGGCAUGACCAGUCAUAUCAUAAAUUCAUUACCCACAAGGCAACUGGGCACGCCCCCUGAUAACCACACGUCCCCAGCCGCAGUAAUGAGCUUUCACAUUUCAGCAGUGGGCAAUGGAGCUCAUCAUCGCCAGCCAGCCAGCCAGCAGCAACCUGCCAUUUGCCACGCCCCCAUUAGCGGGAAUGACUAUUGAAAACCGGUUGACCAAAAAUGACGCGCAAAUGUUGGCAACAUUAAAUUAAAGCGCCAGCAAACUGGCUCAAACCGCACGCGAAAAUUUAUGCAUAUAAAUCAGGCAACGUGGCGCGUUGUUCGCUGAUUGACGUGUGCCCGUCGUUCGUCAGGCCCGGCAAACUACUGCUAAUUUGUCGGAGGGUCCUGCGAACUGCCAGCACACCCCUCCCCCCCCCUCAAAGGAGGACUUCAAAAAAAUAGAAGGAAAAAUGUUCGAAACAACCAAAACAAGGCAAACGCGGCCAAGCCAAACCAAAGCAAACAAAAACAGCAGCUGGAGCAACUGAGCGGCGAAAUGUGCCGAAAUUCCAUCAAAGCGACGUUUUACGGAUAAAACAUUUGCAUAUUUUGAUUGGACACGCCCAGUUGUGUGUGCACAGUGGGCGAGCAAACAAUGGCGACGCUUCUGGGACGCUCCUGGGUCGGAACGGGACGGGACGGGACGGGUCGGGUCGCUGUGGCAUGCAGCUAACAAACUGCGACGUGCGCUAGGCUCAGACAGCAGCAACACGCAGCAGCAGCAGCAGCAACAACACAAUGGCGGCAACUAUGACUGCGAUAAGGGAAUCGGUAUAUGGCAGUCAGGAAUCGGUGAACGGGCGUAGGGAGCUCGGAGGGAGUCGCAACUCCCGACUGGACACGCCCCCUGGGGUGGCAAGGAGGGGCGGUUCUGACUGGUCUAUCAUGCGGCUGACGUGACGUGACGCGGCAGCGAUUUUUACACUUUGCACUUUUUUCACAUUCCGAUACCCAAGGAAUUUUAAAAUGUGAGGGGUAGAUAAGUUUAGCAAUUAAGCUUAACCAUAAUAAUCCUUUUAUAGACAAUAGACAACUAAUCGGGCCAUAGUGCAUGUUAAUUUUAUAACUAAAUUUUAAACUCUGGCCAUAUUUUAG